ensembl:lncRNA
ACUGUAGCCUGCCAGGCUCCUGUGUCCAUGGGACUUUCCAGGCAAGAAUACUGGAGUGGGUUGCCAUUCCCUUCUCCAGAGGAUCUUCCCAACCCAGGGAUCAAACCUGAGCCUCCUGCGUUACAAGCAGAUUCUUUACCACUGAGCCACUGGUGAAGAUAUUGAGGAUCUUAAUUUCCCCACCAAGGAUUGAACCUGGGCUGUAGUGGUGAAAGCACUGAGUCCUAACCACUGGAUCACCAGGGGAUUCCCUAAAAUAUAACGUUUCAAAAAGCACUGGCAGCUGAUGUGAUGAAUCUACACCAGGAUUAUGG